AACGAACGCUGGCGGCAUGCCUAACACAUGCAAGUCGAACGAGACCUUCGGGUCUAGUGGCGCACGGGUGCGUAACACGUGGGAAUUUGCCUCGGGGUAUGGAAUAACUCAGGGGAAACUUGAGCUAAUACCAUAUAAUGUCUUCGGACCAAAGAUUUAUCGCCCUGAGAUAAGCCCGCGUAGGAUUAGCUAGUUGGUGGGGUAAAGGCUCACCAAGGCGACGAUCCUUAGCUGGUCUGAGAGGAUGAUCAGCCACACUGGGACUGAGACACGGCCCAGACUCCUACGGGAGGCAGCAGUGGGGAAUAUUGGACAAUGGGCGAAAGACCUGAUCCAGCAAUGCCGCGUGAGGGAAGAAUGCCUAUGGGUUGUAAACCUCUUUUUUCUACGGGAGGAAUCAAAUGACGUGUACCUGAAGAAUAAGCAUCGGCUAACUCCGUGCCAGCAGCGCGG
rnacentral:rRNA from 1 species